rnacentral:misc_RNA from 1 species
AAAGUCGUAACAAGGUUUCCGUAGGUGAACCUGCGGAAGGAUCAUUACCGUGCCGUGGCGGCCGGCCUCUUUUCGGGGCCGGGCGCUCACCUGGCCACCCGUGUCUACUUACCUGUUGCUUCGGCGAGCCUGCGGGCCUGCCUGCUGCCGGGGGACCUGGUUCCCGGGCGAGUUGCUCGCCGAAGACAUAAGCAAACUCUGGUUAAAGAUUGGCGUCUGAGUCUGGUUAAACAAUCAGUUAAAACUUUCAACAACGGAUCUCUUGGUUCCC